rnacentral:rRNA from 1 species
UACAGAGGGUGCAAGCGUUAAUCGGAAUUACUGGGCGUAAAGCGCAUGUAGGUGGAUAUUUAAGUCGGAUGUGAAAGCCCCGGGCUCAACCUGGGAAUCGCACUCGAUACUGAAUGUCUUGAGUAUAGUAGAGGGAAGUGGAAUUUCCGGUGUAGCGGUGAAAUGCGUAGAUAUCGGAAAGAACAUCAGUGGCGAAGGCGGCUUCCUGGAUUAAUACUGACACUAAAGUGCGAAAGCGUGGGGAGCAAACAGG